rnacentral:rRNA from 1 species
AUUGAACGCUGGCGGCAUGCCUUACACAUGCAAGUCGAACGGCAGCACGGGAGCAAUCCUGGUGGCGAGUGGCGAACGGGUGAGUAAUAUAUCGGAACGUGCCCAGUCGUGGGGGAUAACGUAGCGAAAGCUACGCUAAUACCGCAUACGAUCCAUGGAUGAAAGCGGGGGUUCGCAAGACCUCGCGCGAUUGGAGCGGCCGAUAUCAGAUUAGCUAGUUGGUGGGGUAAAAGCCCACCAAGGCGACGAUCUGUAGCUGGUCUGAGAGGACGACCAGCCACACUGGAACUGAGACACGGUCCAGACUCCUACGGGAGGCAGCAGUGGGGAAUUUUGGACAAUGGGCGAAAGCCUGAUCCAGCAAUGCCGCGUGCAGGACGAAGGCCUUCGGGUUGUAAACUGCUUUUGUACGGAGCGAAACGGUCCUCUCUAAUACAGGGGGCUAAUGACGGUACCGUAAGAAUAAGCACCGGCUAACUACGUGCCAGCCGCCGCCGUAA